ACGUAGGGUGCGAGCGUUAAUCGGAAUUACUGGGCGUAAAGCGUACGCAGGCGGUUCGUUAAGUCAGAUGUGAAAGCCCCGGGCUCAACCUCGGAACUGCGCUUGAGACUGGCGGGCUGGAGUACGGCAGAGGGGGGUGGAAUUUCACGUGUAGCAGUGAAAUGCGUAGAGAUGUGAAGGAACACCGAUGGCGAAGGCAGCCCCCUGGGAUGACACUGACGCUCAUGUACGAAAGCGUGGGUAGCAAACAG
rnacentral:rRNA from 1 species